rnacentral:rRNA from 1 species
UACGUAGGCAGCAAGCGUUGUUCGGAGUUACUGGGCGUAAAGGGUGUGUAGGCGGUUGGAUAAGUGUGGUGUGAAAUCUCCCGGCUCAACUGGGAGGGUGCGCUACAAACUGUCUGACUCGAGUGUGGGAUGGGUAAGUGGAAUUCCUGGUGUAGCGGUGAAAUGCGCAGAUAUCAGGAGGAACACCGGUGGCGAAGGCGGAUCUCUGGGCCUUACCUGACGCUGAGGCGCGAAAGCUAGGGGAGCAAACAGG